rnacentral:rRNA from 1 species
UACGGGGGAUGCAAGCGCUAUCCGGAUUUAUUGGGUUUAAAGGGUGCGUAGGCUGUGAGGUAAGUCAGCGGUGAAAUGCCCCCGCUCAACGGGGUGAAGUGCCAUUGAUACUGCCUUGCUGGAAUGCGGAUGCCGUGGGAGGAAUGUGUGGUGUAGCGGUGAAAUGCAUAGAUAUCACACAGAACACCGAUUGCGAAGGCAUCUCACGAAUCCGCUAUUGACGCUGAUGCACGAAAGCGUGGGUAUCAAACAGG